UCCCUUGUAGCUCAGUCGGUAAAGAAUCUGCCUGCAGUGCAGGAGACCCAGGUUCGAUCCCUGGGUUGGGAA
rfam:Ovis aries breed Texel chromosome 14, whole genome shotgun sequence.